ACCACGUGGCUAUGGCAGAGCUUAAACAUCCCACAGAAGCGCUCACGCAGGGGGCCGGAAAGUUCCAUAAGCGACCACUCGACUGUCCCCGCGGGCUUGUGGCCUCUAGAACUUUCUUGCAACUCGGAGCUCUAUCCCUGCUCCGGGGUCCCUCCGCUCCUUUUCUUCUCGGCCCGUUUCCACUACCCUUGCUCCCCUAGUCGCAUGGAGCUGUAACGGCGGCGUCCGGGCUGGCAGCAGCACAGACACUGCCACGUCCCACGCCACCGCGGGGUGGGCAGCACGGCAGAUGUCUUUCGACGGCGACCCGGACCCCAGGGAGGUUGCUGUUGGAUCAGUCCUGAUGCAUAAGUGAACAUGUUGAAGCUCGGAGAGGUUGAAAGGCCUUUGCUGCUUGCAGUUCCCAUCCAGCUAGAGCAGAUGGCCAAUAGGAGUAGUGUGCGUGCCACAUGUUGACUUUUAAAUUUUCCAGCAGCAACAUGAAAGAAGAGUAAAAAGAAAA
rnacentral:lncRNA from 1 species